UAAUACGGAGGGGGCAAGCGUUGUUCGGAAUUAUUGGGCGUAAAGGGCGCGUAGGCGGCUGUGCAAGUCAAAGGUGAAAUCCCUCGGCUCAACCGAGGAACUGCCUCUGAUACUGCAUAGCUUGAGUCCCGGAGAGGGUGGCGGAAUUCCCAGUGUAGCGGUGAAAUGCGUAGAUAUUGGGAGGAACACCAGUGGCGAAGGCGGCCACCUGGACGGGUACUGACGCUGAGGCGCGAAAGCGUGGGGAGCAAACAGGAUUAGAUACCCUGGUAGUCCACGCUGUAAACGAUGAACACUUGGUGUUGCGGGUAUUGACCCCUGCAGUGCCGAAGCUAACGCAUUAAGUGUUCCGCCUGGGGAGUACGGUCGCAAGGCUG
rnacentral:rRNA from 1 species